rnacentral:lncRNA from 1 species
UAGGCCAGGUACUGAAUUUAGAGGCUGGAGUACUAGCAUACUAAACCAUGUGUAUGGACCUCAGUCUAUUUAAUAAACUCAUAACAUUGUUGAGAUCCAUUGCCAAGUCCCAAUCCAAUUAGGAUUUCAUUUUUAGUUGGUCAUUGAUUUUAAUGACUUUAAUUCUAUUCCUAAUAUUAUUUUAUUUAAUUAUUUUAUUUUAAAGGUUGUUAAAAUUUAUGUCCUAGU